CCAGUGUGAUUCGUCACACUAUCAUUAACUGAAUCCAUAGGUUAAUGAGGCGAACCGGGGGAACUGAAACAUCUAAGUACCCCGAGGAAAAGAAAUCAACCGAGAUUCCCCCAGUAGCGGCGAGCGAACGGGGAGCAGCCCAGAGCCUGAAUCAGUGUGUGUGUUAGUGGAAGCGUCUGGAAAGGCGCGCGAUACAGGGUGACAGCCCCGUACACAAAAAUGCACAUGCUGUGAGCUCGAUGAGUAGGGCGGGACACGUGGUAUCCUGUCUGAAUAUGGGGGGACCAUCCUCCAAGGCUAAAUACUCCUGACUGACCGAUAGUGAACCAGUACCGUGAGGGAAAGGCGAAAAGAACCCCGGCGAGGGGAGUGAAAAAGAACCUGAAACCGUGUACGUACAAGCAGUGGGAGCACGCUUAGGCGUGUGACUGCGUACCUUUUGUAUAAUGGGUCAGCGACUUAUAUUCUGUAGCAAGGUUAACCGAAUAGGGGAGCCGAAGGGAAACCGAGUCUUAACUGGGCGUUAAGUUGCAGGGUAUAGACCCGAAACCCGGUGAUCUAGCCAUGGGCAGGUUGAAGGUUGGGUAACACUAACUGGAGGACCGAACCGACUAAUGUUGAAAAAUUAGCGGAUGACUUGUGGCUGGGGGUGAAAGGCCAAUCAAACCGGGAGAUAGCUGGUUCUCCCCGAAAGCUAUUUAGGUAGCGCCUCGUGAAUUCAUCUCCGGGGGUAGAGCACUGUUUCGGCAAGGGGGUCAUCCCGACUUACCAACCCGAUGCAAACUGCGAAUACCGGAGAAUGUUAUCACGGGAGACACACGGCGGGUGCUAACGUCCGUCGUGAAGAGGGAAACAACCCAGACCGCCAGCUAAGGUCCCAAAGUCAUGGUUAAGUGGGAAACGAUGUGGGAAGGCCCAGACAGCCAGGAUGUUGGCUUAGAAGCAGCCAUCAUUUAAAGAAAGCGUAAUAGCUCACUGGUCGAGUCGGCCUGCGCGGAAGAUGUAACGGGGCUAAACCAUGCACCGAAGCUGCGGCAGCGACGCUGAUGCGUUGUUGGGUAGGGGAGCGUUCUGUAAGCCUGUGAAGGUGUGCUGUGAGGCAUGCUGGAGGUAUCAGAAGUGCGAAUGCUGACAUAAGUAACGAUAAAGCGGGUGAAAAGCCCGCUCGCCGGAAGACCAAGGGUUCCUGUCCAACGUUAAUCGGGGCAGGGUGAGUCGACCCCUAAGGCGAGGCCGAAAGGCGUAGUCGAUGGGAAACAGGUUAAUAUUCCUGUACUUGGUGUUACUGCGAAGGGGGGACGGAGAAGGCUAUGUUGGCCGGGCGACGGUUGUCCCGGUUUAAGCGUGUAGGCUGGUUUUCCAGGCAAAUCCGGAAAAUCAAGGCUGAGGCGUGAUGACGAGGCACUACGGUGCUGAAGCAACAAAUGCCCUGCUUCCAGGAAAAGCCUCUAAGCAUCAGGUAACAUCAAAUCGUACCCCAAACCGACACAGGUGGUCAGGUAGAGAAUACCAAGGCGCUUGAGAGAACUCGGGUGAAGGAACUAGGCAAAAUGGUGCCGUAACUUCGGGAGAAGGCACGCUGAUAUGUAGGUGAAGUCCCUCGCGGAUGGAGCUGAAAUCAGUCGAAGAUACCAGCUGGCUGCAACUGUUUAUUAAAAACACAGCACUGUGCAAACACGAAAGUGGACGUAUACGGUGUGACGCCUGCCCGGUGCCGGAAGGUUAAUUGAUGGGGUUAGCGCAAGCGAAGCUCUUGAUCGAAGCCCCGGUAAACGGCGGCCGUAACUAUAACGGUCCUAAGGUAGCGAAAUUCCUUGUCGGGUAAGUUCCGACCUGCACGAAUGGCGUAAUGAUGGCCAGGCUGUCUCCACCCGAGACUCAGUGAAAUUGAACUCGCUGUGAAGAUGCAGUGUACCCGCGGCAAGACGGAAAGACCCCGUGAACCUUUACUAUAGCUUGACACUGAACAUUGAGCCUUGAUGUGUAGGAUAGGUGGGAGGCUUUGAAGUGUGGACGCCAGUCUGCAUGGAGCCGACCUUGAAAUACCACCCUUUAAUGUUUGAUGUUCUAACGUGGACCCGUAAUCCGGGUUGCGGACAGUGUCUGGUGGGUAGUUUGACUGGGGCGGUCUCCUCCUAAAGAGUAACGGAGGAGCACGAAGGUUGGCUAAUCCUGGUCGGACAUCAGGAGGUUAGUGCAAUGGCAUAAGCCAGCUUGACUGCGAGCGUGACGGCGCGAGCAGGUGCGAAAGCAGGUCAUAGUGAUCCGGUGGUUCUGAAUGGAAGGGCCAUCGCUCAACGGAUAAAAGGUACUCCGGGGAUAACAGGCUGAUACCGCCCAAGAGUUCAUAUCGACGGCGGUGUUUGGCACCUCGAUGUCGGCUCAUCACAUCCUGGGGCUGAAGUAGGUCCCAAGGGUAUGGCUGUUCGCCAUUUAAAGUGGUACGCGAGCUGGGUUUAGAACGUCGUGAGACAGUUCGGUCCCUAUCUGCCGUGGGCGCUGGAGAAUUGAGGGGGGCUGCUCCUAGUACGAGAGGACCGGAGUGGACGCAUCACUGGUGUUCGGGUUGUCAUGCCAAUGGCACUGCCCGGUAGCUAAAUGCGGAAGAGAUAAGUGCUGAAAGCAUCUAAGCACGAAACUUGCCCCGAGAUGAGUUCUCCCUGACUCCUUGAGAGUCCUGAAGGAACGUUGAAGACGACGACGUUGAUAGGCCGGGUGUGUAAGCGCAGCGAUGCGUUGAGCUAACCGGUACUAAUGAACCGUGAGGCUUAACCUU
rnacentral:rRNA from 1 species